rnacentral:rRNA from 1 species
GUACACUCCUACGGGAGGCAGCAGUGGGGAAUUUUGGACAAUGGGCGAAAGCCUGAUCCAGCAAUGCCGCGUGAGUGAAGAAGGCCUUCGGGUUGUAAAGCUCUUUUGUCAGGGAAGAAACGGUGAAAGCUAAUAUCUUUUGCUAAUGACGGUACGUGAAGAAUAAGCACCGGCUAACUACGUGCCAGCAGCCGCGGUAAUACGUAGGGUGCAAGCGUUAAUCGGAAUUACUGGGCGUAAAGCGUGCGCAGGCGGUUUUGUAAGUCUGAUGUGAAAUCCCCGGGCUCAACCUGGGAAUUGCAUUGGAGACUGCAAGGCUAGAAUCUGGCAGAGGGGGGUAGAAUUCCACGUGUAGCAGUGAAAUGCGUAGAUAUGUGGAGGAACACCGAUGGCGAAGGCAGCCCCCUGGGUCAAGAUUGACGCUCAUGCACGAAAGCGUGGGGAGCAAACAGGAUUAGAAACCCGAGUAGUCCCAUG